AGUGAACGCUGGCGGCGUGCUUAACACAUGCAAGUCGAACGAGAACGGAUUAUAGCUUGCUAUAAUUGUCAGCUAAGUGGCGCACGGGUGAGUAAUGUAUAGGUAAUAUGCCUCUUACUAAGGGAUAACAAAUGGAAACGUUUGCUAAUACCUUAUACUCCUUAUUAACAGAAGUUAAUAAGGGAAAGAUUUAUUGGUAAGAGAUUAGCCUGUAUUGUAUCAGUUAGUUGGUGGGGUAAUGGCUUACCAAGACUAUGACACAUAACUGGUUUGAGAGGAUGAUCAGUCACACUGGAACUGAGACACGGUCCAGACUCCUACGGGAGGCAGCAGUGGGGAAUAUUGCACAAUGGGCGAAAGUCUGAUGCAGCAACGCCGCGUGGAGGAUGACACAUUUCGGUGCGUAAACUCCUUUUAUAUGAGAAGAUAAUGACGGUAUGAUAUGAAUAAGCACCGGCUAACUCCGUGCCAGCAGCCGCAGUAA
rnacentral:rRNA from 1 species